UAAGGAGGAUGCGAGCGUUAUCCGGAUUUACUGGGUGUAAAGGGAGCGUAGACGGUGAUGCAAGUCAGAAGUGAAAGCCCGGGGCUCAACUCCGGGACUGCUUUUGAAACUGGCAGUCUCGAGUUGGAGAGAAGUAUGCGGAAUGCGCGGUGUAGCGGUGAAAUGCAUAGAUAUCACGCAGAACUCCGAUUGCGAAGGCAGCAUACCGGCGCCCGACUGACGCUGAAGCACGAAAGCGUGGGUAUCGAACAGG
rnacentral:rRNA from 1 species